rnacentral:rRNA from 1 species
AUUGAACGCUGGCGGCAGGCCUAACACAUGCAAGUCGAACGAGUGGCGGACGGGAGAGUAAUGUCUGUAAAACUGCCUGAUGGAGGGGGAUAACUCCUGGAACCGGUAGCUAAUACCGCAUACCAUCAGAUGUUACCAGGUGGGAUUAGCUUGUGGGUGGGGUAACGGCUCACCAAGGCGACGAUCCCUAGCUGGUCUGAGAGGAUGAACAGCCACACUGGAACUGAGACACGGUCCAGACUCCUACGGGAGGCAGCAGUGGGGAAUAUUGCGCAAUGGGCGCAAGCCUGAUGCAGCCAUGCCGCGUGUAUGAAGAAGGCCUUCGGGUUGUAAAGCACUGUCAGCGGGGAGGCGGUACCCGCAGAAGAAGCACCGGCUAACUCCGUGCCAGCCGCCGCGGUAAUUC